CGCUCCCCAGCCGUCGGCUGGCGCGGACCCCUGGGUGCCCCGGGGUGUCCGGAGCAGCAGGGGAGAGCUGAGCCAGGGCGCACGCCCCGUCGGGGCUGCGGGUGUGGAGCCCAGGAGUCAUCCGUGCUGGGCCCCCGGGGAGGCUGGAGCCCUCCAAGGCCGGGAGCCUCCCGGAGCGGAGCGCGCCGCCCUGCAGCCCUGGGCCCUCUGUUUUUCCGCGUCCUUUCACUAGGGUCCAUGCUGGUUAGUGGCCGAUUUGCAGGGAAUCUGGGCACAAUCUUAAUAACACCAGGGCCAAAAAUAACAACGUUCCUGGGAACCAGAGCACGAGUGAUGAAAGCAAGAAGCCAUUUCACCAUCCAGGGAAGAGGAGGAACAAUAUUUUUCUCUUUGGAGUUCCCAGACUAUGAAGAGAAAACACCAGCCUACGAACAGAGUGUCCCCUGACAUAGGAAACGCCCUAUCCAGUCAUUGGUGAAGAAACGGAGGCCUGGGGGGAUGAUGAGAGCUACUCAAGAAGACAUGGCACCAGCUUUCUACCCAGGCCACUUGGAUCUAGGGUCUGGAGGCCAUGUGCACCAUUUUGCAUUAGAUUAACACUUUAAUUCAGUUCACAGUUAGCCAAUACACGUUCCCCAUCUAUAUCUAUACCCAUCUGGAAGGCAUCAAGAAAGAUAGUGUUGUGUGCCCAUGACCCAGCUAACAAAGACGCUCUGGGCUCCAAUGCCCCAAUUUUUCAUGGGAUUCCAUCCAUCUCACGCCCUGCUCGCCACAGAGGUAAA